rnacentral:tRNA from 1 species
GCUGACAUGGUGGAAGUAGACACAGGAGUGAGAAACUCUGGAGAGAAGUACAAUCUCGUAAAGGUGCAAAUCCUUUUGUCAGCA